GCCUUCUGGAUCCUGAAUUUGUUUGAGUGCUGGAUGGAAUACAGCAAAUCUCUAGCACCAUAUAAAUUCAGCAUUUCAGUUG
rnacentral:pre_miRNA from 1 species